rnacentral:rRNA from 1 species
CAGCCGCCGCGGUAAUACGAAGGGGGCUAGCGUUGUUCGGAUUUACUGGGCGUAAAGGGCGCGUAGGCGGACUGAUAAGUCAGGGGUGAAAUCCCAAGGCUCAACCUUGGAACUGCCUUUGAUACUGUUUGUCUUGAGUUCGAGAGAGGUAAGUGGAACUGCGAGUGUAGAGGUGAAAUUCGUAGAUAUUCGCAAGAACACCAGUGGCGAAGGCGGCUUACUGGCUCGAUACUGACGCUGAGGCGCGAAAGCGUGGGAGCAAACAGGAUUAGAUACCCCUGUAGUCCCUGUCUCUUAUACA